rnacentral:rRNA from 1 species
GAUGAACGCUGGCGGUCUGCUUAACACAUGCAAGUCGAACGCAACCUUCGGGUUGAGUGGCGGACGGGUGAGUAACGCGUGAGAAUCUGCCUUGGGGUCGGGGACAACCACUGGAAACGGUGGCUAAUACCGGAUACGCCUUCGGGUAAAAGAUUUAUUGCCCUAAGAGGAGCUCGCGUCUGAUUAGCUAGUUGGUGAGGUAAGAGCUCACCAAGGCAGCGAUCAGUAGCUGGUCUGAGAGGACGAUCAGCCACACUGGGACUGAGACACGGCCCAGACUCCUACGGGAGGCAGCAGUGGGGAAUUUUCCGCAAUGGGCGAAAGCCUGACGGAGCAAGACCGCGUGAGGGAGGAAGGCUCUUGGGUUGUAAACCUCUUUUCUCAGGGAAGAAGCUCUGACGGUACCUGAGGAAUCAGCCUCGGCUAACUCCGUGCCAGCAGCCGCGGUAAUACGGAGGAGGCAAGCGUUAUCCGGAAUUAUUGGGCGUAAAGCGUCCGCAGGUGGCGAUUCAAGUCUGCUGUCAAAGCACGGGGCUUAACUCCGUAAAGGCAGUGGAAACUGAAUAGCUAGAGUGCCGUAGGGGUAGAGGGAAUUCCCGGUGUAGCGGUGAAAUGCGUAGAGAUCGGGAAGAACAUCGGUGGCGAAAGCGCUCUACUGGACGGCAACUGACACUCAGGGACGAAAGCUAGGGGAGCGAAUGGGAUUAGAUACCCCAGUAGUCCUAGCUGUAAACGAUGGAUACUAGGUGUAGCUUGUAUCGACCCGAGCUGUGCCGAAGCUAACGCGUUAAGUAUCCCGCCUGGGGAGUACGCACGCAAGUGUGAAACUCAAAGGAAUUGACGGGGGCCCGCACAAGCGGUGGAGUAUGUGGUUUAAUUCGAUGCA